GGUGCACCAGGGAGAACUGGUGCUGGUUUUAACUUUUACACAUCCUGCGUCCGUCCCGCGGAAGAAAACCUCUCCUGAAUCACACCAGGUGAAACUCCCUGAAACCCCAGCGGAGCUAACAGCGACCGUACCCGGCUGCCGGAGGUCUUCUUCUGCUGACUCUGCCGGCUCUUCCUCCCCGCUGGUUGUUUCCUCUUCGCAGCGUUGACGGAACCGCAGUCUGCUCCUUCUGCCAUGACACCCGCCUGACUUCACCUCUAAUAAAGUUACCCAGAGAGAUAAGACGGCACGGCUACAAACCGAGCCCAAACACCGGGCCGCCAGGGAGCGGAAGUCACACAGAGACAUGGACAAUGAAGUGGUUCGGAGAGGAAGAGGAAGAGGAGGCGGAAGAACGCGGCGGGUGAAGUUAAAAUCUCAAAGCCCGAAGAGAAAGAUGUUUUUCAAAAGCCUGGAAAACAGUGUUCAGGGUUUGUGCGAUUUACUGAGAACAGGAGAGGAAAACAGAGACAUUUAAAAGAAAAAAACUGCCAGAAUUAAAGAUCGUUCACAUCCAACAUUUGGACCCGAACAGUCUCUAACACCAACACUGAGUUUCAGUCUCCGAAGACACGUACCGCCCGUGAGUACUGUUAGUUAUUGUCUUCUCCGUCGAGCAUAUCGGACAGAAAAAAAUAAAGUCCUCAGUUGAAAUCAACACAUUGAAGGAGAAAUGUUUGCUUGAGUUUUUCUGGCCCACUGGGUUUUAUUCGUCCUCAUAAUGUCCGGGUUUCACACAGGAAACCUCCCUGCCGCUCUCUGCCUCCAAUGGUGCGAAGUAACCAAGUACAUCUACUCUGCUGUUGUACUUCAGAGCUAUUUUCAGUUACUCGCUUUUCGCCUCUGAGAGCUCGGCCGUGUUUUCACAGUUCGCUGAAAGAUGAAAAUAUGAACUUCAAGUCUGAAGACGUCAAACAGGCUGUCAACAGUCUGAAUCACAGACUAAACCACCAGUCUAUUCUGGUCUGCUCUACAGAGAAAUGUGAGGAAACAGCCCCAUCUACGGGCCACGGAGCCACAGCACAGCUGAAUAUGUUGCUGUGG